CCAGUGUCCUGUCUUCUGACAGUGGCCAAUGCUAAUUCUUUUGUGAACCUAGAUGUAUUUUUGGCCUUCACAACAUCCACGGCAAUGAAUUCCAGAGGUUAACUAUGCAUUAUGUGAAGUACCUCCUUAUGUUGU